rnacentral:rRNA from 1 species
CCUACGGGAGGCUGCAGUCGAGAAUCAUUCACAAUGGGGGAAACCCUGAUGGUGCGACGCCGCGUGGGGGAAUGAAGGUCUUCGGAUUGUAAACCCCUGUCAUGUGGGAGCAAAUUAAAAAGAUCGUACCACAAGAGGAAGAGACUGCUAACUCUGUGCCAGCAGCCGCGGUAAUACAGAGGUCUCAAGCGUUGUUCGGAAUCACUGGGCGUAAAGCGUGCGUAGGCUGUUUCGUAAGUCGUGUGUGAAAGGCGCGGGCUCAACCCGCGGACGGCACAUGAUACUGCGAGACUAGAGUAAGGGAGGGGGAACCGGAAUUCUCGGUGUAGCAGUGAAAUGCGUAGAUAUCGAGAGGAACACUCGUGGCGAAGGCGGGUUCCUGGACAUUAACUGACGCUGAGGCACGAAGGCCAGGGGAGCGAAAGGGAUUAGAUACCCUGGUAGUC